GUGCUCGGGCUCUUAAAGGCGGGCCAUUCCCAGCCAGAAUCGCUGAAUAGUAUAUCCAUGGGGACCAAAUGGUAUGACGAUGGGCGACGGCGACGGCGACGAGGAAUGAGACAGCACGCCAUCCGUCGCUUCUCUGGUACGCGGCAGCUCAACGUUCAGCCGCUUCAUAUCCUGCUUUUAAUUGCUUAACAUAAAACAAUUCCGAGUCAUAUCUAUUCACAUUCAACAGCAGUCUUUUAAGUAUCCACCAUAUUUAUUCUUAUAAAUCUAAACAUCAGAUGAUUCAUGUCACAAAUGAUAAACACAAAUUAUCAUUCAAAUAUUAAGAAAUAAUAUUAGUUAUAAUUGCAUAUAUGUUGAUGUUUAGGCUCUCUCUCUCUCUCUCUCUCUCUAUAUAUAUAUAUAUAUAUAUAUAUAUAUAUAUAUAGAGGAUAAAUACAAGAAAAUACUUUAGAGGUAAAUAUUUGCAUAAAGUGUUUUCCAAUCAGUAUAAAUUGUUUUUUUCUGAAGAAUUUUCCUACACUAUGUGAUUGUCACAUGAAGAACAAACAAGGAGGUUGCACAUUUCUUAUUGUUGUUGCUAUCAAAGAAAAAAAGAAAGGGAAGAAAAUAAUCAUUGGUGUGCUUAGAUCAUAGAUGACGCAAAUGAGAAGGUGACUCUGAAGAAAAUUAUACCCAGAUGAAUCAGUACUACAGUGGCAUCUUCUUCCAGCUUGAUGUGGAUGUAUUGGUUAUCAUAAGGUAAGUGUUGAUGUCAAGAAAUGUAUAGUUUAGAGGCACAAGAAAUGUAUGUUGUAGUUUUUAUAAGAUAUAAUUUUAAGAAACAUCAAGUUUCAUGGGAGAAAAUAAGUAAUGUUGUGGAUGAAAAAGACAUUGUCAAUGCAUAUAGAAGUUUAUGGAUAAGAAGAAGAUUUUUAGAACCAUCAGCACCAAACACCUUAGAGUUAUAGUUUUUUUUUUAUUUUAAUUAAAAAUAAUUCUGUGACUCAUUGCAUAAAGAAAAUAUAUACAAAUUAUUGAGAUUAUAUUUGAUGUUUCCAUUUUAUUAGGGACAGGUUGCUGAUUGGAAUGAAGGAGACAUGGAUGGGUAUAUUAAUUUAUUUUUGAAGGCAUUAAAUUUUUGUUAUGUUUGAUGGUUGGCAAUUUGAUCUGUUAAUUUUCUCUUGAUGAAUAUUCCAGCUCAGACUCUCAGUCAACCAAACCGGUGAGAAUCCGGUUUCACCAUUUCAUGGAUCGGACCGGUGGAUCAGCAUAUCAGAUCAUAAAACUAAAUUUUGUUAUCGAAAAAAUAUUUCAAACUUAAAUUUAGAGGAACAAAAUAAAAAUCAUUAACUUUGAGUGGCCAAUACAUUAAUGCCACACAGUUGGAACCCUAACACCAGCAUAUUGACAACAAAAAAGGAAUGGAAAAAAAGAGAGGAGAGAGC
rnacentral:lncRNA from 1 species